GAUGAACGCUGGCGGCGUGCCUAAUACAUGCAAGUCGAGCGAACGGACGAGAAGCUUGCUUCUCUGAUGUUAGCGGCGGACGGGUGAGUAACACGUGGAUAACCUACCUAUAAGACUGGGAUAACUUCGGGAAACCGGAGCUAAUACCGGAUAAUAUUUUGAACCGCAUGGUUCAAAAGUGAAAGACGGUCUUGCUGUCACUUAUAGAUGGAUCCGCGCUGCAUUAGCUAGUUGGUAAGGUAACGGCUUACCAAGGCAACGAUGCAUAGCCGACCUGAGAGGGUGAUCGGCCACACUGGAACUGAGACACGGUCCAGACUCCUACGGGAGGCAGCGGUAGGGAAUCUUCCGCAAUGGGCGAAAGCCUGACGGAGCAACGCCGCGUGAGUGAUGAAGGUCUUCGGAUCGUAAAACUCUGUUAUUAGGGAAGAACAUAUGUGUAAGUAACUGUGCACAUCUUGACGGUACCUAAUCAGAAAGCCACGGCUAACUACGUGCCAGCAGCCGCGGUAAUACGUAGGUGGCAAGCGUUAUCCGGAAUUAUUGGGCGUAAAGCGCGCGUAGGCGGUUUUUUAAGUCUGAUGUGAAAGCCCACGGCUCAACCGUGGAGGGUCAUUGGAAACUGGAAAACUUGAGUGCAGAAGAGGAAAGUGGAAUUCCAUGUGUAGCGGUGAAAUGCGCAGAGAUAUGGAGGAACACCAGUGGCGAAGGCGACUUUCUGGUCUGUAACUGACGCUGAUGUGCGAAAGCGUGGGGAUCAAACAGGAUUAGAUACCCUGGUAGUCCACGCCGUAAACGAUGAGUGCUAAGUGUUAGGGGGUUUCCGCCCCUUAGUGCUGCAGCUAACGCAUUAAGCACUCCGCCUGGGGAGUACGACCGCAAGGUUGAAACUCAAAGGAAUUGACGGGGACCCGCACAAGCGGUGGAGCAUGUGGUUUAAUUCGAAGCAACGCGAAGAACCUUACCAAAUCUUGACAUCCUUUGACAACUCUAGAGAUAGAGCUUUCCCCUUCGGGGGACAAAGUGACAGGUGGUGCAUGGUUGUCGUCAGCUCGUGUCGUGAGAUGUUGGGUUAAGUCCCGCAACGAGCGCAACCCUUAAGCUUAGUUGCCAUCAUUAAGUUGGGCACUCUAAGUUGACUGCCGGUGACAAACCGGAGGAAGGUGGGGAUGACGUCAAAUCAUCAUGCCCCUUAUGAUUUGGGCUACACACGUGCUACAAUGGACAAUACAAAGGGCAGCGAAACCGCGAGGUCAAGCAAAUCCCAUAAAGUUGUUCUCAGUUCGGAUUGUAGUCUGCAACUCGACUACAUGGAGCUGGAAUCGCUAGUAAUCGUAGAUCAGCAUGCUACGGUGAAUACGUUCCCGGGUCU
rnacentral:rRNA from 1 species